CUAUUGGCGAGAUAACGAUGGUGUGGAUCACUAAUUUUAACCAUCGAUUAUAUUUUAAUCAAUGACCAGAUUGAUUCUUGGUCUAUUUGUUUCUCUCGAUCUUACGCGACUUUUGCUUUCUUCUUCAAUCGUUCAUUUCUCUCACACACAACACAGAUUCAUCAAUCAAGCUGUCCGCCUUCUGAUUGUGCGACAGAGACCAAGCGAAGUGGUGGAACAGAGAGAGGAGAUAGAGCUCGGAGAUGCAGAGAAAGAAGAAGAUGCGACGGUCGGUCUCGAACUCGCCCUCAUGGUCACCGGUCUCUAGCUCGUUCCCGUCUCACCAGCACCACCACCGACGCGCUCGUCACCACCACUACUCCCUUCGAUUCCGUCGCACUCUUCACCACCACCACGGUCCUAUAUAUAUAUAUAUAUGUAUAUAUAUAUAUCUCUCUCUUUCUAUCUUUUUAAUCUGAUUUGUUUUGGUGAAUCUGACUUGUUUUGUUCCAAUUUUUGUAGAUUAACCUCCAUUCUUCGUUGAUGGGACAAUGAUUGAAGACCUUCACGGUGGUGGAAGAAGACCUUGACGGGACAGUGGUUGAAGACUUUGACGGUGGAAGAAGAAGAGGAAGCUAUUGCGGCUGGACUCUUAUUUUUUUAGGUUUAGGUUUUUUCAGAUUUGGUUUAGUGUAAACCAAGUUGGGGAAAUUGUGCUGGUUUGACUUUAGUGUUUAAUUUUGGUUUGUUUUGUAAACCGAAAUUUAUAUGUAAACCCAU
rnacentral:lncRNA from 1 species